rnacentral:rRNA from 1 species
CUAUGGUUAAGGAACUCGGCAAAAUGCCCCCGUAACUUCGGGAGAAGGGGGGCCGGAAUACCGUGAACACCCUUGCGGUGGGAGCGGGAUUCGGCCGCAGAAACCAGUGGGUAGCGACUGUUUACUAAAAACACAGGUCCGUGCGAAGUCGCAAGACGAUGUAUACGGACUGACGCCUGCCCGGUGCUGGAAGGUUAAGAGGACCCGUUAACCCGUAAGGGUGAAGCGGAGAAUUUAAGCCCCAGUAAACGGCGGUGGUAACUAUAACCAUCCUAAGGUAGCGAAAUUCCUUGUCGGGUAAGUUCCGACCUGCACGAAUGGCGUAACGACUUCCCAACUGUCUCAACCAUAGACUCGGCGAAAUUGCACUACGAGUAAAGAUGCUCGUUACGCGCGGCAGGACGAAAAGACCCCGGGACCUUCACUACAACUUGGUAUUGGUGUUCGGUACGGUUUGUGUAGGAUAGGUGGGAGACUUUGAAGCACAGACGCCAGUUUGUGUGGAGUCGUUGUUGAAAUACCACUCUGAUCGUAUUGGACACCUAACGUCGAACCCUUAUCGGGUUCACGGACAGUGCCUGGCGGGUAGUUUAACUGGGGCGGUUGCCUCCUAAAAUGUAACGGAGGCGCCCAAAGGUUCCCUCAACCUGGACGGCAAUCAGGUGGCGAGUGUAAGUGCACAAGGGAGCUUGACUGCGAGACUUACAAGUCAAGCAGGGACGAAAGUCGGGACUAGUGAUCCGGCACCCCCGAGUGGAAGGGGUGUCGCUCAACGGAUAAAAGGUACCCCGGGGAUAACAGGCUGAUCUUCCCCAAGAGUCCAUAUCGACGGGAUGGUUUGGCACCUCGAUGUCGGCUCGUCGCAUCCUGGGGCUGGAGCAGGUCCCAAGGGUUGGGCUGUUCGCCCAUUAAAGCGGCACGCGAGCUGGGUUUAGAACGUCGUGAAACAGUUCGGUCUCUAUCCGCCGCGCGCGUCAGAAACUUGAGGAAACCUGUCCCUAGUAC